UGCUCAGGACGAACGCUGGCGGCGUGCUAAUACAUGCAAGUCGAACGAACUCUGGUAUUGAUUGGUGCUUGCAUCAUGAUUUACAUUUGAGUGAGUGGCGAACUGGUGAGUAACACGUGGGAAACCUGCCCAGAAGCGGGGGAUAACACCUGGAAACAGAUGCUAAUACCGCAUAACAACUUGGACCGCAUGGUCCGAGUUUGAAAGAUGGCUUCGGCUAUCACUUUUGGAUGGUCCCGCGGCGUAUUAGCCAGAUGGUGAGGUAACGGCUCACCAUGGCAAUGAUACGUAGCCGACCUGAGAGGGUAAUCGGCCACAUUGGGACUGAGACACGGCCCAAACUCCUACGGGAGGCAGCAGUAGGGAAUCUUCCACAAUGGACGAAAGUCUGAUGGAGCCACGCCGCGUGAGUGAAGAAGGGUUUCGGCUCGUAAAACUCUGUUGUUAAAGAAGAACAUAUCUGAGAGUAACUGUUCAGGUAUUGACGGUAUUUAACCAGAAAGCCACGGCUAACUACGUGCCAGCAGCCGCGGUAAUACGUAGGUGGCAAGCGUUGUCCGGAUUUAUUGGGCGUAAAGCGAGCGCAGGCGGUUUUUUAAGUCUGAUGUGAAAGCCUUCGGCUCAACCGAAGAAGUGCAUCGGAAACUGGGAAACUUGAGUGCAGAAGAGGACAGUGGAACUCCAUGUGUAGCGGUGAAAUGCGUAGAUAUAUGGAAGAACACCAGUGGCGAAGGCGGCUGUCUGGUCUGUAACUGACGCUGAGGCUCGAAAGUAUGGGUAGCAAACAGGAUUAGAUACCCUGGUAGUC
rnacentral:rRNA from 2 species